CUUACUGUUCAGCUGCCCAGCAGACUAAAUGGAGUAACUGAGUGCAGCGGACUACACAGAAAGGGGAUAGCAUCCAACUCGGUAACAAAACAAAAUGAUUGUAUGGAGCCUUUCCCUACGGCACUCUAAUGAGACGGAUAAAGCCAAAUACACCCACAAGGAAGAUGAACUUGGUCUGAAGACCUGACUGCAGGCUCUGGUCUGCACUGACGAUGCCAGAUGCACCCUUUCACCCCUAUAGUCUCUCUCCUAUGCAGAUCACGAAGGACCAUACAGCAUCUUGGAAUAGGCCACUUAAGUAAAUUGGGAGGGAAGGACGACUGGCUGGCCGAGAAAGAAGCGCCUGGACCCCAUGCAAAGUGGAGAAGCUGCGCGAUAGGCCGCCUAGGUUACUGAUCGCUUCCCGCCGGCCAGGCCGCAGAUGCUGAAUCACUGCAGGAGCAUGUCCGUGAGGUAAGCUCCCUCUCCCACCGCCCCGCGCCUCAGGGAACAGAGGCCGAUCCCCGACCAGGUCAGCUGACCUCAGCCCCAAACCCUCCGAGGACUCGGGGCUCAACACACCAUAGCUCCGGCGAGGUUACAACCAGACACAGCAGCGGACACAGGAACACGGCCUCAACUACGGUUCGGUGAUCGUCAAAGAAGGCUGCGGAGUCUUC